rnacentral:rRNA from 1 species
AGAGUUUGAUCAUGGCUCAGGAUGAACGCUGGCGGCGUGCCUAACACAUGCAAGUCGAGCGAUCCUCUUCGGAGAAGAGCGGCGGACGGGUGAGUAACGCGUGGGUAACCUGCCCUGUACACACGGAUAACAUACCGAAAGGUAUGCUAAUACGAGAUAAUAUACUUUAUCGCAUGGUAGAAGUAUCAAAGCUCCGGCGGUACAGGAUGGACCCGCGUCUGAUUAGCUAGUUGGUAAGGUAACGGCUUACCAAGGCGACGAUCAGUAGCCGACCUGAGAGGGUGAUCGGCCACAUUGGAACUGAGACACGGUCCAAACUCCUACGGGAGGCAGCAGUGGGGAAUAUUGCACAAUGGGCGAAAGCCUGAUGCAGCAACGCCGCGUGAGCGAUGAAGGCCUUCGGGUCGUAAAGCCCUGUCCUCAAGGAAGAUAAUGACGGUACUUGAGGAGGAAGCCCCGGCUAACUACGUG